UUCUACUGUCAUACUACCCUGCACAUGCCUGAUCUUGUCUGGUCUUAUAAGAUGAGCAGGGCCAUCCUGGUUAGUACUUGGAGGGGAGACAUUUUAUAGCAGCAG
rnacentral:rRNA from 1 species